CCUACGGGUGGCAGCAGUGGGGAAUAUUGGACAAUGGGGGCAACCCUGAUCCAGCCAUGCCGCGUGUGUGAAGAAGGCCCUCGGGUUGUAAAGCACUUUCAGUGAGGAAGAACGCCUGGUGGUUAAUACCCAUCAGGAAAGACAUCACUCACAGAAGAAGCACCGGCUAACUCCGUGCCAGCAGCCGCGGUAAUACGGAGGGUGCGAGCGUUAAUCGGAAUUACUGGGCGUAAAGCGCGCGUAGGUGGCUUGAUAAGCCGGUUGUGAAAGCCCCGGGCUCAACCUGGGAACGGCAUCCGGAACUGUCAAGCUAGAGUGCAGGAGAGGAAGGUAGAAUUCCCGGUGUAGCGGUGAAAUGCGUAGAGAUCGGGAGGAAUACCAGUGGCGAAGGCGGCCUUCUGGACUGACACUGACACUGAGGUGCGAAAGCGUGGGUAGCAAACAGGAUUAGCUACCCUGGUAGUC
rnacentral:rRNA from 1 species